AGAGUUUGAUCAUGGCUCAGGAUUAACGCUAGCGGCAGGCCUAAUACAUGCAAGUCGUGGGGCAGCAGGUGUAGCAAUACAUGCUGGCGACCGGCGCACGGGUGCGUAACACGUAUGCAAUCUACCUAUAACCGGGGAAUAACUCUUCGAAAGAAGGGCUAAUACCGCAUAACACUUCGAGGUGGCAUCACCAUGAAGUUAAACCUCCGGGGGUUAUAGAUGAGCAUGCGUCCGAUUAGUUAGUUGGCGGGGUAACGGCCCACCAAGACUUCGAUCGGUAGGGGUUCUGAGAGGAAGAUCCCCCACACUGGUACUGAGAUACGGACCAGACUCCUACGGGAGGCAGCAGUAAGGAAUAUUGGACAAUGGGCGCAAGCCUGAUCCAGCCAUGCCGCGUGCAGGAUGAAGGUGCUCAGCACUGUAAACUGCUUUUGUUUGGGAAAAAAUCCCUGGUUUCUACCGGGGUUGAUUGUACCAAGAGAAUAAGGGACGGCUAACUUCGUGCCAGCAGCCGCGGUAAUACGAAGGUCCCAAGCGUUAUCCGGAUUUAUUGGGUUUAAAGGGUGCGUAGGCGGAUUAUUAAGUCAGUGGUGAAAGCUCCAUGCCUAACAUGGAAAUUGCCAUUGAUACUGAUGAUCUUGAGUACAUUUGAAGUGGGCGGAAUGUGUCAUGUAGCGGUGAAAUGCUUAGAUAUGACACAGAACACCGAUUGCGUAGGCAGCUCGCUAAACUGUAACUGACGCUGAGGCACGAAAGCGUGGGGAGCAAACAGGAUUAGAUACCCUAGUAGUCC
rnacentral:rRNA from 1 species